UACGUAGGGUGCAAGCGUUGUCCGGAAUUAUUGGGCGUAAAGAGCUCGUAGGCGGUCUGUCGCGUCGGCUGUGAAAUCCCGGGGCUCAACCCCGGGCGUGCAGUGGAUACGGGCUGGCUGGAGGCAGGCAGGGGAGAACGGAAUUCCUGGUGUAGCGGUGAAAUGCGCAGAUAUCAGGAGGAACACCAAUGGCGAAGGCAGCUCGCUGGGACGUGACUGACGCUGAGACGCGAAAGCGUGGGGAGCAAACAGG
rnacentral:rRNA from 1 species